GGGCACGGGAGCGCGCCCAAGGUUCUUCCUCAGCGGUGUGCGGGAGGUCUGGGGCCAGUGCGGUGUACCUCGAGAGUUCCGGCAGAGCUGGCUCUCGUCCUCUGUACGGGUGUGGCCCCUUAGGAACCAGGGGCUUAUGAUCUUCUUCCAGACAAGAUGCAGUCUCAAGAAGCUACUUCCACAGUAGAAUAUGGCAUUUGGGAUGACCGGAGUCUGAGUUCCUGGACUACAGCCACUCAUGCUUGAC